rnacentral:rRNA from 1 species
AACGAACGCUGGCGGCAUGCCUAACACAUGCAAGUCGAACGAGACCUUCGGGUCUAGUGGCGCACGGGUGCGUAACGCGUGGGAACCUGCCCUUAGGUUCGGAAUAACUCCCCGAAAGGGGUGCUAAUACCGGAUAAUGUCUUCGGACCAAAGAUUUAUCGCCUUUGGGUGGGCCCGCGUUGGUUUAGCUAGUUGGUAGGGUAAAAGCCUACCAAGGCGACGAUCCAUAGCUGGUCUGAGAGGAUGAUCAGCCACACUGGGACUGAGACACGGCCCAGAAUCCUACGGGAGGCAGGAGUGGGGAAUAUUGGACAAUGGGCGAAAGCCUGAUCCAGCAAUGCCGCGUGAGUGAUGAAGGCCUUAGGGAUGUAAAGCUCUUUUACCCGGGAUGAUAAUGACAGUACCGGGAGAAUAAGCUCCGGCUAACUCCGUG